CUGUGCUUCACUUAACACAGGCCAGUGGCUUCUGGACCUUCACAGGUUUGCAUCUGGACCACACACAGAAAGUAAGCCAGAAUAAGCACAACUUGUUUUUCAAAAAUAAGAACUUUUCUGCGAUGACCAUCCUUCAUCCCUGCUGUGCUGCUCGAUCCUGCUGUUCUUGGAGUUGAACACUAAUGGGCUUAAGCUUUCCAGGACUCAGGCGUUCCCAGACACAUCUCCUAACAAACAGCCUGAUGGAUUUGGAAGCAAGUUCCUUGACCUUUGGCUGCAGGGUUGCCUUAUGGCCUCCACUAAAAUAAAGAAGUGUAAUCUCCAUGGUGCAAAAUAGAAGUCAGCAAAUCUCCUGCCAAGAAGCAGACAAGGAAAAAUGGUUUCUGGGCCUCUUCUUUUGGGAAGCUUACCAGGGUGGGAAAAUUGUUACUACUCAUCUAUGCAAAGUAACUUGCAGGGAAGACUGCUUCUGUCCUCAGCUCUGUGAUUACACUCCCAUGAGCAUCUUCUGAGAUUCUAAGUUCUUGAGAAUGAACUGGUGACAUUUCAGAUAUGAA
ensembl:lncRNA